UUCUGGCCUUCAUGGUUUCAGAAGAGAAAUCUGGUGUUACUCAUUGGGUCUUCCAGUAUAGGUUCAUGGAUUCUAUCCAGAGUCGUCUCCAUUCUACUACUGAGUUCAUCGGCUCUUCAAUUAUAUUUGAGAGAGAGGAGGUGGACAGCUGCAUUCUGCUUUCUUGUUCUGGAGCUGGAAGUCCCGUUGGAGAACUUACGAAUGGGAGAUGGGAGGAGCCACUCGGAAUGUAAGAGCCACUGUGGGGCGGGCGCGGAGCGGGCAGCCCAGCCACUGCUGGAGAGCUAAACGAGCGAACGCAGUUUCACGGUCUAACUUCAGUUUCCUGAAGGCUUCUGUAAGACGGAGCCCCGUGUCCCUGAGUUCUUGGACAAGAACACUCAAGAAUGCUUCUCGGGGUUUGUAGCUGCCCCUUUCCCAGCAAAAGCACGCUGAGGCACUAGUCUGGAGGGAGAGGGGUGCGCGUCUGCAAAGGCCUGUGACACUGCUCCGUGCCCCCAUGUGUAUUCGUCUGCCCUUCUGUCCAAGCGUCUCUGUCUGCGGAUAGGUAUUUCCCUAAUCACCUUGAGCAUCACACCUCUUUUCUCUUUUCAAAAAAGAAAAAACUUGCUUUAUUCAGUAUCCAGAAUUACUUAGCAUAGUAAGUCAGGGCUCAAAGACAGCCCCUUGCCGGAAUCUCUUCAAGAAAGAGGACAACAUUUAACAUACAGCAAUGACAAGAUUUUUUAAAUUUUGCUCUUAACAGCCCCGAAUGAACACAACAGAA